UACGUAGGAUGCAAGCGUUGUCCGGAAUUAUUGGGCGUAAAGAGCGCGCAGGCGGUUUUACAAGUCAGAUGUGAAAUAUCCGGGCUUAACCCGGAGGGGUCAUUUGAAACUGUGAGACUAGAGUACAGCAGAGGAUAGCGGAAUUCCCGGUGUAGUGGUGAAAUGCGUAGAUAUCGGGAGGAACACCAGUGGCGAAGGCGACACCCUGGACUCAUACUGACACUGAGGUGCGAAAGCGUGGGGAGCAAACAGG
rnacentral:rRNA from 1 species